rnacentral:tRNA from 1 species
CAAGAAAUAGUUUAAAUAAAAUAUUAAUUUUGGAGAUUAAUGAUAAAAAAAAAUUUUUUUUUCUUGA